AGUGAUAAAAUCAAGAUAGUGCCAUGAUUAUUCUCAAUGGCUUGGAGGGUCGCUUGGAACUAUAACUAGGAUUAUAUCCCGUAUUGAUAAAGAAAAAACUAUAUGUCGUUGAUACGACCAUUCUGAUGAUAUUUAUGCAUAUGUCGUUCAUGCUAUGAGAAAAAAUAUGUUGUUCAACCUAUGAGAAAAAUAUAUGAUAUUUAUGCACACGUCUUUGUGUUACAUGUACUUCUCCAUUAGCUACGGUUUGCUUCUGUCAUGAUGGAGUUUCCACCUAUGAGAAAAAAAAUAUGGCUUUCAUUUAGCAUAUUUUCAUUUUCCUUAAAUG
rnacentral:lncRNA from 1 species